AGCGAACGCUGGCGGCAGGCCUAACACAUGCAAGUCGAACGAACUCUUCGGAGUUAGUGGCGGACGGGUGAGUAACACGUGGGAACGUGCCUUUUGGUUCGGAAUAACUCAGGGAAACUUGUGCUAAUACCGAAUGUGCCCUUCGGGGGAAAGAUUUAUCGCCAUUAGAGCGGCCCGCGUCUGAUUAGCUAGUUGGUGAGGUAACGGCUCACCAAGGCGACGAUCAGUAGCUGGUCUGAGAGGAUGACCAGCCACACUGGGACUGAGACACGGCCCAGACUCCUACGGGAGGCAGGAGUGGGGAAUCGUGCGCAAUGGGCGAAAGCAUGACGCAGCCAUGCCGGGUGAAUGAUGAAGGUCUUAGGAUAGUAAAAUUCUUUCACCGGGGACGAUAAUGACGGUACCCGGAGAAGAAGCCCCGGCUAACUUCGUG
rnacentral:rRNA from 1 species